rnacentral:rRNA from 1 species
UGGGGAAUAUUGCACAAUGGGGGAAACCCUGAUGCAGCGACGCCGCGUGAGCGAAGAAGGCUUUCGAGUCGUAAAGCUCUGUCCUAUGAGAAGAUAAUGACGGUAUCAUAGGAGGAAGCCCUGGCUAAAUACGUGCCAGCAGACGCGGUAAUACGUAUGGGGCGAGCGUUGUCCGGAAUUAUUGGGCGUAAAGGGUACGUAGGUGGUUUUUUAAGUCAGGUGUCAAAGCGUGGAGCUUAACUCCAUUAAGCACUUGAAACUGAAAGACUUGAGUGAAGGAGAGGAAAGUGGAAUUCCUAGUGUAGCGGUGAAAUGCGUAGAUAUUAGGAGGAAUACCGGUGGCGAAGGCGACUUUCUGGACUUUUACUGACGCUCAGGUACGAAAGCGUGGGGAGCAAACAGG